AACGCACAUUGCGCCCCCUGGUAUUCCGGGGGGCAUGCCUGUCCGAGCGUCAUUGCUGCCCUCAAGCACGGCUUGUGUGUUGGGCUUCGCCCCCCGGGAGCCGGGGGGCGGGCCCGAAAGGCAGCGGCGGCACCGCGUCCGGUCCUCGAGCGUAUGGGGCUUCGUCACCCGCUCUGUAGGCCCGGCCGGCGCCCGCCGGCGACCCCAAUCAAUCUUUCCAGGUUGACCUCGGAUCAGGUAGGGAUACCCGCUGAACUUAA
rnacentral:misc_RNA from 1 species